AACGAACGCUGGCGGCAGGCCUAACACAUGCAAGUCGAGCGAAGCCUUCGGGCUUAGCGGCGGACGGGUGAGUAACGCGUGGGAACGUGCCCUUUGCUACGGAAUAGCCCCGGGAAACUGGGAGUAAUACCGUAUGUGCCCUUCGGGGGAAAGGUUUAUCGGCAAAGGAUCGGCCCGCGUUGGAGUAGGUAGUUGGUGGGGUAAUGGCCUACCAAGCCGACGAUCCAUAGGUGGUUUGAGAGGAUGGCCACACUGGGACUGAGACACGGCCCAGACUCGUACGGGAGGAAGCAGUGGGGAAUCUUAGACAAUGGGUGAAACCCUGAUCUAGCCAUGCCGCGUGAUCGAUGAAGGCCUUAGGGCUGUAAAGAUCUUUCAGUGGGGAAGAUAAUGACUGUACCCACAGAAGAAGCCCCGGCUAACUCCGUGCCAGCCGCCGCCGUAAGAC
rnacentral:rRNA from 1 species